rnacentral:rRNA from 1 species
UUGUGGAAGCUCAAAAUCCCUCUAAGAGUGAAGAUUUUCCUCUGGUUUCUUAACAGAGGAGUCAUCCUAACUAGAGACAAUCUGGCACGACGAAACUGGCAUGGUUCCAAGACAUGUGUCUUUUGCCAACAUGACGAGUCUAUUAAACACUUAUUUUUUUAG